GACGAACGCUGGCGGCGUGCCUAAUACAUGCAAGUUGAGCGCUGAAGGUUGGUACUUGUACCGACUGGAUGAGCAGCGAACGGGUGAGUAACGCGUGGGGAAUCUGCCUUUGAGCGGGGGACAACAUUUGGAAACGAAUGCUAAUACCGCAUAAAAACUUUAAACACAAGUUUUAAGUUUGAAAGAUGCAAUUGCAUCACUCAAAGAUGAUCCCGCGUUGUAUUAGCUAGUUGGUGAGGUAAAGGCUCACCAAGGCGAUGAUACAUAGCCGACCUGAGAGGGUGAUCGGCCGCAUUGGGACUGAGACACGGCCCAAACUCCUACGGGAGGCAGCAGUAGGGAAUCUUCGGCAAUGGACGAAAGUCUGACCGAGCAACGCCGCGUGAGUGAAGAAGGUUUUCGGAUCGUAAAACUCUGUUGGUAGAGAAGAACGUUGGUGGGAGUGGAAAGCGCAUCAAGUGACGGUAACUACCCAGAAAGGGACGGCUAACUACGU
rnacentral:rRNA from 1 species